rnacentral:rRNA from 1 species
CCCGCUCAGAACUUAAAUGAAUUGACGGGGCCGGCACAAGCGGUGGAGUAUGUGGUUUAAUUCGAUGCAACGCGAAGAACCUUACCUGGUCUUGACAUCCCGGAGACCCUUAGGAAACUAGGGGGUGCUUCCAUCUGGAAGAAUCUGGAGACAGGUGCUGCAUGGCUGUCGUCAGCUCGUGUCGUGAGAUGUUGGGUUAAGUCCCGCAACGAGCGCAACCCUUGCCUUUAGUUGCCAGCAGUUCGGCUGGGCACUCUAAAGGGACUGCCGGUGUUAAACCGGAGGAAGGUGGGGAUGACGUCAAGUCCUCAUGGCCUUUAUGACCAGGGCUACACACGUACUACAAUGGCCGAUACAAAGGGCAGCGACACUGCGAGGUGAAGCCAAUCCCGUAAAAUCGGUCUCAGUCCGGAUUGGAGUCUGCAACUCGACUCCAUGAAGUUGGAAUCGCUAGUAAUCGUGGAUCAGCAUGCCACGGUGAAUACGUUCCCGGGCCUU